rnacentral:rRNA from 1 species
AACGUAGGAGACAAACGUUAUCCGGAGUUACUGGGCGUGAAAGGGCGGUGUAGGUGGUAAUGUAAGUCUGGCGUGAAAUUUUUCGGCUUAACCGGGAAGGCGUCGGAUACUGCAUGACUAGAGGACGGUAGAGGCGUGUGGAAUUCCGGGUGUAGUGGUGAAUGCGUAGAGAUCCGGAGGAACACCAGUGGCGAAGGCGACACGCUGGGCCGUACCUGACACUGAUGCGCGACAGCAUGGGGAGCAACAGG